rnacentral:rRNA from 1 species
AAUCUCCCACAAUGGGCGAAAGCCUGAUGGAGCAACGUCGCGUGAGUGAAGAAGGAUUGCGGUUCGUUAAACUCUGUCGUCAGGGAAGAACAAGUACAGUAGCAACUGGCUGUACCUUGACGGUACCUUAUUAGAAAGCCACGGCUAACUAUGUGCCAGCAGCCGCGGUAAUACGUAGGUGGCAAGCGUUGUCCGGAAUUAUUGGGCGUAAAGCGCGCGGAGGUGGUUUCUUAAAUCUGGUGUGAAGACCCACGGCUCAACCGUGGAGGGUCAUUGGAAACUGGGAGUCUUGAGUGCAGAAGGGGAUAGUGGAAUUCCAAGUGUAGCGGUGAAAUGCGUAGAGAUUUGGAGGAACACCAGUGGCGAAGGCGACUAUCUGGUCUGUAACUGACACUGAGGCGCGAAAGCGUGGGGAGCAAACAGG